ACANGGACCAGACUCNUACGGGAGGCAGCAGUGAGGAAUAUUGCACAAUGGAGGAAACUCUGAUGCAGCCAUGCCGCGUGCAGGAUGAACGCCCUAUGGGUUGUAAACUGCUUUUCUGCAAGAAGAAACCUUAGUACGU
rnacentral:rRNA from 1 species